rnacentral:rRNA from 1 species
AUUGAACGCUGGCGGCAUGCCUUACACAUGCAAGUCGAACGGUAACAGGUUAAGCUGACGAGUGGCGAACGGGUGAGUAAUGUAUCGGAACGUGCCCAGUCGGGGGGGAUAACUGCUCGAAAGAGCAGCUAAUACCGCAUACGACCUGAGGGUGAAAGCGGGGGAUCGCAAGACCUCGCGCGAUUGGAGCGUCCGAUAUCAGAUUAGGUAGUUGGUGAGGUAAAGGCUCACCAAGCCGACGAUCUGUAGCUGGUCUGAGAGGACGACCAGCCACACUGGGACUGAGACACGGCCCAGACUCCUACGGGAGGCAGCAGUGGGGAAUUUUGGACAAUGGGCGCAAGCCUGAUCCAGCCAUGCCGCGUGCGGGAAGAAGGCCUUCGGGUUGUAAACCGCUUUUGUCAGGGAAGAAAAGGUUCUGGCUAAUACCUGGGACUCAUGACGGUACCUGAAGAAUAGGCACCGGCUAACUACG